rnacentral:rRNA from 1 species
UAGUCAUAUGCUUGUCUUAAAGACUAAGCCAUGCAUGUCUAAGUAUAAGCACUUGUACAGCAAAACUGCGAAUGGCUCAUUAAAUCAGUUAUAAUUUAUUUGAUGGUAAAUACCACUUGGAUAACCGUGGUAAAACUAGAGCUAAUACAUGCGUAAAAACCUGACUGGGAACGGAAAGGUUGUAUUUAUUAGAUACAAAACCAAUACUUUUGAAUAGCAAUACUCAAAAGUUAAAAUUGGUGAUUCAUAGUAAUUAAACUAAUCGUAUAGUCUUUUGUACUGACGAUAGUUCAUUCAAAUAUCUGCCCUAUCAACUUUCGAUGGUAGUAUAGAGGACUACCAUGGUGGUAACGGGUAACGGAGAAUCAGGGUUUGAUUCCGGAGAAGGAGCCUGAGAAACGGCUACCUACUUCCAAGGAAGGCAGCAGGCGCGCAAAUUACCCAAUCCCAAAACGGGGAGGGAGUGACAAUAAAUAACAAUAUUGGAUUUUAUAAAAAAUCUAAUAAUUGGAAUGAGUACAAUCUAAACCCCUUAACGAGUAUCAAUU